rnacentral:rRNA from 1 species
CCCUAUGGGGUGCAGCAGGAACGGUAGUUUCAGCCACUGAUUCUGCGGCUGAUGCCUCCACUGAGGCAGCCGAAAAUGUAACCGAUGAACAAUCAACUGAUGAGCUGACCGCAGAGAAUGAAUCGCAGAAUGAGACCGAGACAGAAUCCGAAGAGGCUGAGGAAGAAGAGAUAGAAGAGGGAGAUAAUAGAAUCUGGAGAGAAGGCAAGAGUCCAUAUAAAUACACCUGGACGCCAAAGACUUUUUCUGGAUUCUUCUACGAUCUGGAGAAUGAAGUGGGCACAGAAAGGCUCACAGUAGACCUGGAGCCCAAUGAAAGGUCCCUUGAAACCGGCAAGAUCUCUUAUUCCACUAAGCCUGAAGCUACAGACUUCGAGUUCGAUGACUGGGGAGAGC